rnacentral:rRNA from 1 species
AUUGAACGCUGGCGGCAUGCUUUACACAUGCAAGUCGAACGGUAACAGGCCUUCUGGUGCUGACGAGUGGCGAACGGGUGAGUAAUGCAUCGGAACGUGCCCAGGGGUGGGGGGUAACGCAGCGAAAGCUGUGCGAAUACAGCAUGUGAUCUGAGGAUGAAAGCGGGGGACCAGGCAGCACUGUUUGGCCUCGCGCCUUUGGAGCUGCGGAUGGCAGAUUAGUUGGUUGGUGGGGUAAAGGCCUACCAAGCCGAAGAUCUUUAACUGGUCUGAGAGGAGGACCAGCCACACUGGGACUGAGACACGGCCCAGACUCCUACGGGAGGCAGCAGUGGGGAAUUUUGGACAAUGGGCGCAAGCCUGAUCCAGCAAUGCCGCGUGCGGGAAGAAGGCCUUCGGGUUGUAAACCGCUUUUGUACGGAACGAAAAGGCUCUGGCUAAUACCUGGGGCUGAUGACGGUACCGUAAGAAUAAGCACCGGCUAACUACGUG